rnacentral:siRNA from 1 species
UGAACGAAUUCAGACUGUGA